AACGAACGCUGGCGGCAUGCCUAACACAUGCAAGUCGAACGAGACCUUCGGGUCUAGUGGCGCACGGGUGCGUAACGCGUGGGAAUCUGCCCUUGGGUUCGGAAUAACAGUUAGAAAUGACUGCUAAUACCGGAUAAUGUCUUCGGACCAAAGAUUUAUCGCCCAGGGAUGAGCCCGCGUAGGAUUAGCUAGUUGGUGAGGUAAAGGCUCACCAAGGCGACGAUCCUUAGCUGGUCUGAGAGGAUGAUCAGCCACACUGGGACUGAGACACGGCCCAGACUCCUACGGGAGGCAGCAGUGGGGAAUAUUGGGACAAUGGGCGAAAGCCUGAUCCAGCAAUGCCGCGUGAGUGAUGAAGGCCUUAGGGUUGUAAAGCUCUUUUACCCGGGAUGAUAAUGACAGUACCGGGAGAAUAAGCUCCGGCUAACUCCGUGCCAGCAGCCGCGGUAAU
rnacentral:rRNA from 1 species